rnacentral:rRNA from 1 species
AACGAACGCUGGCGGCAGGCUUAACACAUGCAAGUCGAACGGACGUAGCAAUACGUUAGUGGCAGACGGGUGAGUAACGCGUGGGAACGUGCCCUUCAGUUCGGAAUAACUCAGGGAAACUUGAGCUAAUACCGGAUAUUCCCGAGAGGGGAAAGAUUUAUCGCUGAAGGAGCGGCCCGCGUCUGAUUAGCUAGUUGGUGAGGUAAUGGCUCACCAAGGCGACGAUCAGUAGCUGGUCUGAGAGGAUGAUCAGCCACACUGGGACUGAGACACGGCCCAGACUCCUACGGGAGGCAGCAGUGGGGAAUAUUGGACAAUGGGCGCAAGCCUGAUCCAGCCAUGCCGCGUGAGUGAUGAAGGCCUUAGGGUUGUAAAACUCUUUUGUCCGGGAAGAUAAUGACUGUACCGGAAGAAUAAGCCCCGGCUAACUUCGUG